AGACAUGUGUCAUGGGCUUUUUGUCGCUGAACUAUUCCAUAUUAACAAACUAAGUUGCUUUUCCUUUCAUUCCUUUGGCCACAGGACAGACAAAAUUCACCAAUGUCUCUACCACAGACAUUCUCAGAUGGUGCUAAUAAAAAGAAGAAACCCAAACCAGAAUUGGUGGUCCACAUUGUGAGAGUUGCUAAAUAUCAUCACAAAGCAAUAAUUAUCCGAGAGCACGCUUGGUGGCUCAACAUUCUGAAAUGCAAAUGUCAAGAGCGUAUAAUCUGGAUGAUGUGGCUAAUGGGAGCUCA
rnacentral:lncRNA from 1 species